GCGCGAAAACUUUACAAUGCUGGCAACAGCGAUAAGGGAACCUCGCGUGCCAGGUUACAAAUCUGGCUGUCGAGAUGCCUAAAAAGCAUUUCAUAGCAAGGGCCGGGCAAGACCGGUGCCAGCCGCCGCGGUAACACCGGCGGCCCGAGUGGUAACCGUUAUUAUUGGGUCUAAAGGGUCUGUAGCCGGCCGGAUAAGUCUCUUGAGAAAUCUGGCAGCUUAACUGUCAGGCUUUCAGGGGAUACUGUCUGGCUCGAGGCCGGGAGAGGUGAGAGGUACUUCAGGGGUAGGGGUGAAAUCUUGUAAUCCUUGAAGGACCACCAGUGGCGAAGGCGUCUCACCAGAACGGACCUGACGGCAAGGGACGAAAGCUAGGGGCACGAACC
rnacentral:rRNA from 1 species